ACGGGUGAGUAACGCGUGAGCAACCUGUCCCAGACAGGGGGAUAACACUUGGAAACAGGUGCUAAUACCGCAUAAGACCACGGGGUCACAUGGCUACUGGGGGUAAAAGGAGCAAUCCGGUUUGGGGUGGGCUCGCGUCCGAUUAGAUAGUUGGUGAGGUAACGGCCCACCAAGUCGACGAUCCGGUAGCCGACCUGAGAGGGUGAUCGGCCACAUUGGAACUGAGAGACGGUCCAAACUCCUACGGGAGGCAGCAGUGGGGAAUAUUGGGCAAUGGGCGAAAGCCCUGACCCAGCAACGCCGCGUGAGUGAAGAAGGCCUUCGGGUUGUAAAGCUUCUGUUAUAGGGGACGAAGGAAGUGACGGUACCCUAUAAGGUAAGCCCCGGCUAACUACGUGCCAGCCGCUGC
rnacentral:rRNA from 1 species